UGCAGACACCGACCAGGGGCCUGACAUUUUCCCAAGAAAAGAAAACACAAGAGGCCACAUUUCUUAUCUGAGGUGACACGCCAGCUGCGAGCCUGGGUAACCUGAGCCUGCCUGUCGCACCGUGCCGCCCCUGGCGUGGCAAUGACAAUUGAAGGGUCUCUCCAGCCAGCUUCCGGGCACUGGCAUUGUGGGGCCUGCACACCCUGCUGGGGCUGAGGCGUAAUUAUAGGGUCGGGUUACCCCAGGAGACAGGUAUUCACAUUGUUCAUGUCCGCGGAGCUGGACUCCCGCCGUCCCCAGGCCGGCCGGCCCUGCCCUGUGGCUCUGCAGCCCGGGUCUCCCUGUGCCCUCCCCCCAGGCUCCUGUUCCAUGCCCCUUGUUGCCCCAGCCCAGAGAGCCUGGGGCUGCAGAGUGGGGCGGGGGCCUCCUGGUGGCCCGGGCGUCUCCCUUCGCUUUUCCAGCAGUUGAAAGCAGAGCCCAGGUGCAAGGAGACUGUCUCGAUCUCUUUCUCCGGGAGCCACAGAACACCGGGCCGGGCCGGUCUGGGGCAGGUGGCUUCUCCCUCCGCCCAGCAGCUGCCUGGGAGGACAAGGGGUCUCUGGCGGCCUUGGUUUGGGACCACACACGGGCUUUGAGCCUUCAUGACAGGCGAUGCUGCCCCGCGGACUGGCUGGGGCCUGGGGCUGCUGCGUAGCUCAAGUGAACCUGCUGGCCAGCCCUACCCGACUCUCCAGGGUCUCGGCUGGGCACGCCGGGCACUGAGUCCUCAGCCCCCCUGUCCGGGGCAGCUCUGGUAUCAUCCGUUUUACAGACGAGGCAGUGGAGGUCCUGGGAGAUGGACGGACCAACGGUCCCCUCCUUAGAGUGGCUGGGCUGGGGCCGGGACCCACACCUGAACCCCGCCAGGGCCCCUGCGUCAUGGUGUUUUGCUGAGUUACAGAGCAGGGAGAAGCCAGCUUCUACUUUGGGGGCACAAUGAUCCCCCAAGUCCCUGGUCUACAGGUGUUCUGGGUCAGUGCCAAGGACUCUAAGGGGGCGGGGCCUCCCUUGCUUUCUGGUGCCACAAAGGACAGGACGUUUCUCUUGCCCCCCACGCUGGCUGCUGGGUGUGGAUGGAGGGGUGGGCUUAUCAGGUGUCCUGGCCUCCCAUCCCUGCUUCUCCCCUCCCGGUCACACUCUUUCCCCGCCGAUGGCUGCAGGCUCCUCUCACUCCAUACAAACCCCUCCUUCCAACAGCCCUAAUCAGUGCUUCCUCCUGUCCCACACUGGGUGACUGGGGCAGCCGGGGCUCCGGGAUGCGGGCAGCUGACCUGGUUUACGGCCCCCACUGGCCAAGAUGCCCGCUGGAACUUGGAGUUAUAAACAGUGACGUUUCUCCUGCCACCCCUGGCUCUGGGCUGGGGAGGGGCUGGUACAGGGGAGGGUUGGGUCCUGGGGUUCUCACCCCCAGGGUCCCAUCACCAGACAGAUGGCCUGGGAAGGAGUCAUCCCAUUUCACAGGAAGCAUGACCCUGGCCACCACCGGCAUCCCCCCCUCAGCCCAGGCUUCCAGGGGACCAAGGUCCGGGCCAUUCCUGCAGCAGCAGCUCGGACGGCCGGGCUCUUCUCCCCAUGCUGACCUGGCCGCCACUGGCCCGGGGGCAGGCAUGUGAGGUAGGUCACACGGUACAGAUUUAGACGCGAGCUUGUCACUCAGAGCAAGGAAUGUGGCGUCUCCCUCCUUCCUGCAAAGCCUCAUCAUGUGUGAGAGAGAGAGGCUGGGGACAGUGGCGGCUGCCGGGGGACACGGCGUCCUUUGCCUGCUUCUCCCUAGGGGCCCAGAACAUUCCAGCAGCAGCUCCCCUUCCUGGACACUUGGGGUCUGCUGCGGGGGAGGCGCGGGGUGUCAGAAGACGCUGCAAGGUCCCAAAGGGCCAUCCAGGAGGACCACCUGGAGGAGGCGGCCUCGUGUGGAUGGAGGAGGGUGGAGGCUCCUGGAAGCAGCCCUGGCAGGCUUCCUUCCCUGCGGGCAAACGCCGUCCCAUGGAGGGAGUCAGGUUUCCUAGGAGCGUGUUGAUGAAAUUCCCGACGGCGGAGGGGGUGGCAGGGGAGGCGCUCUUCGCAGGGCGCCUUUCUCAUCCUCCUCCACAGGAGCGCUGCGCAAGCCAGACGGGGCCGCAGCCUCUGUGGCCCGGACCUCACUUGUCCGGAAGUCCCUGACUUCUCCGGCCAGGCCCCGCUGUCCUCCCUCACUGACGCCGGCCAGUUUCCGGGGCCCAGCACCCAUUUGUGCUAAAUGUCCUCGGAUGAGGUCGAGGCCGGCGGUCCUCGGACUGUAGCUGGAGGGGCCGACCCUGGGCGAGGGGCUGCAGGGCCUGUGCGCAGAGCUGGCCAGGCAGGGGCGUCCUGCUGGGAGUCGGAGCCCUGCCUAAGCUCCCCGCCGUGAAGGGCUCCAGCCGGCAAACCCAACUCAUGAUUCUUGGGACAAGAAAACGCGGAGAACUUCCUGCUUCCCUCGCCGUCUCUCUCUGUCCGCUCCUGUCCUCCCGGGCAGAGGCCGAAACCCUCCCAGCGCAACCAGCGGGCGUGGCUUUGCGUAGAGAGGAAAGGCUCUGCUUCCAGCGCGACAGUGGCCGAUGCAGGCUUUUUUGCAUCCACCACUAAGAGAGCGGAAGGCAGCACCCACCGGGGGAAUGCCAAAGCCGAGACCCAGGGAACCCCAGCUGGGAGGUGUCUGAGCUGUCCCCAGCCCCCUGCGUCGCUGUGCUACCAUGACUGUGCCCCGGAGCCAGCGCUGGGGUCUGUGUCCAGUAUCUGAGGUUUCCCUUUCCUGUGCUUGUGAGUUUAAUCUUCAUGCGGGGCUGGUACCUUCACCUUCGGCUGCCGGCGACACACCUGCCCUCAUCCGGUACUUGGAGGUGUUUGGAAGAGGUGGGCAAAAUUUGGCUGGAUGGCAACAGAGGGAGCCUGCCAUCUUGUCAGAACCCCUUCCUUUCCAAAUAUGGUGCCAGCACCUUGGGAUUGGGGUUCCAGAAAGUUCCGGGGUGGGGGGAUUUCCCGAAAGUUCUGGAAAGUUCCAGAAGGCUUUCCUGCUCAGGCCACUGGGUGCCAACACUCAGGUUUUCCCGGGUCGCGUUGGUCAUUGUGUGAGGAGGGGGCCUCUGAGGGAGUCAGGCCCCCCCGAGUGCAGGCACAGAGCUGGCUUUCCCCGGGCUUGGCGCAGCUGCCAUCUUGCCAUGAAAUCGAGUGUGUUGCUGUUUUCUGGAUCCUUCAGUAAGAGGGAGGCGGGGCCUCUCACCUCCCCCUCGGCCAGUCUUCCUGUGUGCUGUGGGCGUUCAACUUUGACCUUUGGGAUGAGAUAAUGGGACUUGUGUUCUUGGGAGAGGCUUCAGUGGGGGCCUCGUCUGCAGGGAUCCAGUUCGUUUCUGUGACUUACCCUUGUUGACAAAUGUCAACGCAGACAUAUUUGCAGUUCUCGUUUCAGAGGCGAUGGUAGCUGCAUCGUGGUGAGGGCGACCCACGUUUUUGCCCCACUUGGCGCCGCCGGGCCUCCCCCGUGUGGAGCUGAGUGUCAGAACACGGCACGCGGGGAUCCUUCCACUAUCUCGCUGGCACCACACCUGCCUUUCCCUCCAGGAGCCCAGGCGUGUGGAUGCGACCCGUGGGAGGAGCAGGGCCGGCGCCGCCCUUGGGAACAUUGGAGUGCAGAGACUGAGGCCUAAUAACGACUCACGUGCCCCUUGGCCCCAGGCAGGCCGCAGGUUGAUAGCAGCUGUCCCCUCGGAGGCCUCCGGCUGGGGGCCGUGCACCGUGACCUUGAGCACUGACAGACCCCUCUUAAUUAUGCCUGCGUGGAGUUCCCAUGGCCGGCCCCCGCGAAGCAUCUCCCUCCAAGAAGGGACUGCAGGCUCCGGAUUUUGACACGGUCACGCGCGAGACUGACAUUUGAAAGCAGCAUGUUAGAAACGCGGCUUUGGGAGGCGAUUGUUUCUUUCGCUUUUAGCCCGCCAUCGGCAGCACCCGGCGUGGUCCCCGCUCCGCGGCGGAUGUGGCCCCCGGAUGGCCACUGCCUCGAAUCUUUGUUUAGGAACCUGGUUUUUAUUAAACGUAAUUACUUCCCUUUCUGGCCUUAAAUCAAGGGUGGCCUCAACACAGGGACAGCAUCAAUUUGAUUUAAUUACUCUGCACUGUAGUCUUCUGAGCCGAGAUGUGGCUACCGGGGUCUCACGUAGGGGCCCCAACUCAGGACGAGCGCCGAGGCCUUGAUGGGGCCACGGAAGUGUUUGCCUCCGAGAAGGCGCAGGUGAGGAGCCCGAGCCCUCGGCCCCCCACCCCUCGCCUGCCUCUGCAGAACACCGGCCGGACCACGGUUUCCACUCUUCAUUGAUGUGUUUAUUUUUCAUUUGCCAUUAAAACCACGUUGGCUCUCUAACUCAGGGCAAUUCAUUAAGGGCCAUUUAUCUUUUGCAGCGAUAUUUUACCCGCAGAGCCCGCUCAGGGCUGAAAACACUGAAAACACUUCUCAGAGCGUAGCCACCCGGCAGCUCUGGGAAGGCGUGUCGGGGGCGCACGGGCUGCCGGCAGCUCUGGGAAGGCGUGUCGGGGGCGCACGGGCUGCCUGGCCUCCCGGCCCAUGUGGGUCCCGCCUCUGUUUCCGUACCCUGCGUUCCAUGGUCCGAUGGACGGGCCUUCCUCGGCAAAACCGUCAUCCACGUAGAUCCUCCGGAAGAAAAGCCGGAGCUGGUGAGGGUGCCCCUGGAGAAGCGGGCGGCCGGAGCGGGGGUUACUCCCAAUGCAAAUCCCUCUCCCUCGGCGUGGAAACCCAGAGCCAGCGGCGGCCCCGGAGGCCGGGUCCCCCAGGUUUUAUCCAACAUUACCCACGGCAAGAGGGGACA